UUCAGAGCAGCCUCCAAACCCUGAAGGGAACUCAACUGCACAGAAUCACCUCUGCCUCACAUAAACCCUAAAGAUUGUUUUGUAAACCUCAUGGGUGCAACUCAAUUUCAAUCAAGCUCUCCAAUCAGGUUUACCUUUAUUCCCAUUACCUUUUGCUUUGAAGUUGAAUACUCUGAAUGUUUGAGGUAUGAUGAAUGAAUUUCAUUAGGUUUUUGCCCACG
rnacentral:lncRNA from 1 species